UGCAGUUGAACGGGAAUACUUGGAUGCUUGUUGAAGUGUCGUUAGUAGCGGACGGGUGAGUAAUGCAUGAGMACCUGCCUUCCGGAGGGGGACAACAGUUGGAAACGGCUGCUAAUACCCCGUAUGCCCAUAGGUGAAAGGAAUGGAGACCUUCCACGGGGCGAUGGACUCCUGUCCUAUCAUCUGGUUGGUGAGGUAACGGCUCACCAACGCCACGACCGCCAGCCGGCCUGMGAGGGCGACCGGAUACACUGGAACUGAGAGAC
rnacentral:rRNA from 1 species